rnacentral:rRNA from 1 species
UGGGGAAUAUUGCACAAUGGGCGCAAGCCUGAUGCAGCCAUGCCGCGUGUGUGAAGAAGGCCUUCGGGUUGUAAGCACUUUCAGCGAGGAGGAAGGUGGUGAGCUUAAUACGCUCAUCAAUUGACGUUACUCGCAGAAGAAGCACCGGCUAACUCCGUGCCAGCAGCCGCGGUAAUACGGAGGGUGCAAGCGUUAAUCGGAAUUACUGGGCGUAAAGCGCACGCAGGCGGUUUGUUAAGUCGAUNUGAAAUCCCCGGGCUCAACCUGGGAACUGCAUUUGAAACUGGCAAGCUAGAGUCUCGUAGAGGGGGGUAGAAUUCCAGGUGUAGCGGUGAGAUGCGUAGAGAUCUGGAGGAAUACCGGUGGCGAAGGCGGCCCCUGGACGAAGACUGACGCUCAGGUGCG